CUGGGGCUGGAGCUCAGGAGAGCCGUUGGUCCCGGGCCGGGCGGCGGGGCCAGGUCCCGGACGUGGGGAUCGUCCCCGAUACCUGUGCAGGGCUCCCCAACGCGUGGGUCUGGCUGACACCAUCUGCAGCCGCAUGGCAUUAUGGCGCAGCCUGGGUCUCGGGGUUCCUGGAUGUCUGGCUUUCUGGGAAGGUAACCUGACGUCGCGAGGCUGUGGCCCGAAAUUUCGGUCAGGGCUGGGUCACAUGUGCGAAUUCCGUCGUUUAGCUCCGGAACCCGGAUGGAACUCGCCAACUCUGGUUCCUGCAGGUGGGCCUUCCAGAAUGUGGGGUGCCUGGCACCUCUUACCGCGCUUCGCCCCUGCGACCAAGGGCCACGGCUUGCUUCUGGGCAACCUGAGAGGCCUCUGUGGGGAGCAGGGAUGCCAGACCCACCCAGAGAAACAGGGGGUUACCUGGAGCCCCUCCACCGUGUAACUCGGCCCCUGGGAAAUAGAGGCAAAGAGUUUGGGCUGCCCGCCUUUUGACAUAGGGGACAACGAGAUCUGCCCUCUCUCACUGCUGGAGAGAGGGAGGGAGGAGGAGCUGGGAUCUCCCAACCGCACACAUGCCCUGGAUAGUGAAAGGACCCUCUGAAAUAGGAACGAAUAGCAUCCUCAUCACACCGAGGAGGAAAUGGAGGCACAGAGAGGUAAAGUUACUUGGCUAGGGCCCCCAGCUAGUAAGUGGCAGAGCUCUGGAAUCUAAGCUCCUCACAGGUAACCAACAGGAAGUCUCCAGCAGAGGGUCUGGCUCCCAGAAUGUGUUCCAGGCACGGCUGAGGAUAUGAUGAUGGCAGUUGCUAUUACCUCACCUGAA